rnacentral:rRNA from 1 species
GACGUAGGGCGCGAGCGUUGUCCGGAAUUAUUGGGCGUAAAGAGCUCGUAGGCGGUUUGUCGCGUCGAAUGUGAAAUCCCGGGGCUCAACCCCGGGCCUGCAUUCGAUACGGGCAGACUAGAGUUCGGUAGGGGAGUCUGGAAUUCCUGGUGUAGCGGUGAAAUGCGCAGAUAUCAGGAGGAACACCGGUGGCGAAGGCGGGACUCUGGGCCGAUACUGACGCUGAGGAGCGAAAGCGUGGGGAGCAAACAGG